rnacentral:rRNA from 1 species
ACCAAGGCGACAACGGGUAGCGGGCGUGAGAGCGUGGCCCGCCACAUCGGGACUGAGACACUGCCCGGACACCUACGGGUGGCUGCAGCAACGAAUAUUCCGCAAUGGACGAAAGUCUGACGGAGCGACGCCGCGUGCAGGAAGAAGUCCCUCGGGAUGUAAACUGCUGUCAGGGGUUAGGAAUACUUUGACCAGCCCCACAGGAAGUCUCGGCUAACUACGUGCCAGCAGCCGCGGUAAUACGUAGGAGGCGAGCGUUGUUCGGAAUUAUUGGGCUUAAAGGGCGUGUAGGCGGGGAGGCAAGUGUCGGGUGAAAACCCUCGGCUCAACCGAGGAACUGCCCGGCAAACUUCCUCUCUUGAGGCGGGUAGAGGUGAGCGGAACGACUGGUGGAGCGGUGAAAUGCGUAGAUAUCAGUUGGAACGCCGGUGGCGAAAGCGGCUCACUGGACCCGUCCUGACGCUGAGACGCGAAAGCGUGGGUAGCGAACAGGAUUAGAUACCCUGGUAGUCCACGCCGUAAACGAUGCGCACUAGGUAUGAGAGGUUCUGACGCCGAUCGUGCCGAAGGAAAACUACUAAGUGCGCCGCCUGGGGAGUACGGCCGCAAGGCUAAAACUCAAAGGAAUUGACGGGGGCUCACACAAGCGGUGGAGCAUGUGGAUUAAUUCGACGCGAAGAACCCUACCUGGGUUUGACAUGUACGGAUGCCCUUGAUGAAAGUCGAGUAGGUUGCCUUCGGGUGAAACGUGCACAGGUGCUGCAUGGCUGUCGUCAGCUCGUGCUGUGAAGUGUCGGGUUAAGUCCCUUAACGAGCGAAACCCCUAUCGUUAGUUGCCAGCGGGUUAUGCCGGGGACUCUAGCGAGACCGCCGACGUCAAGUCGGAGGAAGGUGGGGACGACGUCAAGUCAUCAUGGCCUUUAUGCCCAGGGUUUCUCACGUGCUACAAUGGUCGGUACAGAGCGACGCGAUACCGUGAGGUGGAGCAAAUCGCACAAAGCCGGCCCCAGUUCGGAUUGGAGUCUGCAACUCGACUCCAUGAAGCCGGAAUCGCUAGUAAUCGCGUAUCAGCAAUGACGCGGUGAAUAUGUUCCUGAGCCUUGUACACACCGCCCGUCAAGUCAUGGAAGCUGGGAGUACCCGAAGUCCGUUUAGCUGACCCGUAAGGGGGGCGGCGGCCGACGGUAAGCUC